rnacentral:rRNA from 1 species
AAUAUGUGGCAUACGGCUCAGUAACACGUAGUCAACAUGCCCAGGGGACGUGGAUAACCUCGGGAAACUGAGGGUAAACCGCGAUAGGUCAUCACUUCUGGAAUGGGUAAUGACUUAAAUCUAUAUGGCCCCUGGAUUGGACUGCGGCCGAUCAGGCUGUUGGUGAGGUAAUGGCCCACCAAACCUGUAACCGGUACGGGCUCUGAGAGAAGGAGCCCGGAGAUGGGCACUGAGACAAGGGCCCAGGCCCUAUGGGGCGCAGCAGGCGCGAAACCUCUGCAAUAGGCGAAAGCUUGACAGGGUUACUCUGAGUGAUUUCCGUUAAGGAGAUCUUUUGGCACCUCUAAAAAUGGUGCAGAAUAAGGGGUGGGCAAGUCUGGUGUCAGCCGCCGCGGUAAUACCAGCACCCCGAGUGGUCGGGACGUUUAUUGGGCCUAAAGCAUCCGUAGCCGGUUCUACAAGUCUUCCGUUAAAUCCACCUGCUUAACAGAUGGGCUGCGGAAGAUACUAUAGAGCUAGGAGGCGGGAGAGGCAAGCGGUACUCGAUGGGUAGGGGUAAAAUCCGUUGAUCCAUUGAAGACCACCAGUGGCGAAGGCGGCUUGCCAGAACGCGCUCGACGGUGAGGGAUGAAAGCUGGGGGAGCAAACCGGAUUAGAUACCCGGGUAGUCCCAGCUGUAAAC